AACGAACGCUGGCGGCGCGCCUAACACAUGCAAGUCGAACGCACCCUUCGGGGUGAGUGGCGGACGGGUGAGUAGCGCGUGGGAACCUGCCCCGAGCACCGGGACAACCGCGGGAAACUGCGGCUAAUACCGGAUGAUGCCCUGCGCGAGCAGGGCCAAAGUCCUAAUCUUCGGGUUGGGGCGGCGUGGGAGGGGCCCGCGUCCGAUUAGCUGGUUGGUGGGGUAACGGCCCACCAAGGCGGUGAUCGGUAGCUGGUCUGAGAGGACGAUCAGCCACACUGGGACGGUGACACGGCCCAGACUCCUACGGGAGGCAGCAGUGGGGAAUCUUGGACAAUGGGGGCAACCCUGAUCCAGCGACGCCGCGUGGGUGAUGAAGGCCUUCGGGUUGUAAAGCCCUUUCGACGGGGACGAUGAUGACGGUACCCGGCGAAAAAGCACCGGCUAACUCCGUGCCAGCCGCCGCGGUAAUAC
rnacentral:rRNA from 1 species